rnacentral:rRNA from 1 species
GAUGAACGCUGGCGGCGUGCCUAAUACAUGCAAGUCGAGCGAACAGAUGAGGAGCUUGCUCCUCUGACGUUAGCGGCGGACGGGUGAGUAACACGUGGAUAACCUACCUAUAAGACUGGGAUAACUUCGGGAAACCGGAGCUAAUACCGGAUAAUAUAUUGAACCGCAUGGUUCAAUAGUGAAAGACGGUUUUGCUGUCACUUAUAGAUGGAUCCGCGCCGCAUUAGCUAGUUGGUAAGGUAACGGCUUACCAAGGCAACGAUGCGUAGCCGACCUGAGAGGGUGAUCGGCCACACUGGAACUGAGACACGGUCCAGACUCCUACGGGAGGCAGCAGUAGGGAAUCUUCCGCAAUGGGCGAAAGCCUGACGGAGCAACGCCGCGUGAGUGAUGAAGGUCUUCGGAUCGUAAAACUCUGGUAUUAGGGAAGAACAAAUGUGUAAGUAACUAUGCACGUCUUGACGGUACCUAAUCAGAAAGCCACGGCUAACUACGUG